UCACCGCUUGCGCGGGCAGUUUUCUUAGAGUCCCCGGCCGACCCGGUAGCAACUGGGAGCGGGGGUUGCGCUCGUUGCGGGACUUAACCCAACAUCUCACGACACGAGCUGACGACAGCCAUGCAGCACCUGUCUCGGGACUCCGAAGAGGGGCCGUGGUUUCUCACGGCUUUCCCCGAGAUGUCAAGCCCAGGUAAGGUUCUUCGCGUUGCGUCGAAUUAAACCACAUGCUCCACCGCUUGUGCGGGCCCCCGUCAAUUCCUUUGAGUUUCAGCCUUGCGGCCGUACUCCCCAGGCGGGGCACUUAAUGCGUUAGCGCCGGCACUCAGGGGGUCGCUCCCCCAAGCACCUAGUGCCCAUCGUUUACGGCGUGGACUAC
rnacentral:misc_RNA from 1 species